rnacentral:rRNA from 1 species
GACGAACGCUGGCGGCGUGCUUAACACAUGCAAGUCGAACGGUGAAGCGCCUUCCUUUUUGGUGGGUGUGGAUGAGUGGCGAACGGGUGAGUAACACGUGAGUAACCUGCCCCCUUCUUCUGGAUAACCGCAUGAAAGUGUGGCUAAUACGGGAUAUUCUGGGUCUGUCGCAUGAUGGGUCUGGGACAGAUAUUGUUUCGGUGGGGGAUGGGCUCGCGGCCUAUCAGCUUGUUGGUGGGGUGAUGGCCUACCAAGGCGGUGACGGGUAGCCGGCCUGAGAGGGUGGACGGUCCAACUGGGACUGAGACACGGCCCAGACUCCGACGGGAGGCAGCAGUGGGGAAUAUGGCACAAUGGGCGCAAGCCUGAUGCAGCGACGCCGCGGGAGGGAUGGAGGCCUUCGGGUUGUGAACCUCUUUCGCCAGUGAAGCAGGCCUGCCUCGUUUGUGGGUGGGUUGACGGUAGCUGGAGAAGAAGCGCCGGCUAACUACGUG